AUUGAACGCUGGCGGCAGGCUUAACACAUGCAAGUCGAGCGGAGAGAGGUAGCUUGCUACCGAUCUUAGCGGCGGACGGGUGAGUAAUGCUUAGGAAUCUGCCUAUUAGUGGGGGACAACAUUUCGAAAGGAAUGCUAAUACCGCAUACGUCCUACGGGAGAAAGCAGGGGAUCUUCGGACCUUGCGCUAAUAGAUGAGCCUAAGUCGGAUUAGCUAGUUGGUGGGGUAAAGGCCUACCAAGGCGACGAUCUGUAGCGGGUCUGAGAGGAUGAUCCGCCACACUGGGACUGAGACACGGCCCAGACUCCUACGGGAGGCAGCAGUGGGGAAUAUUGGACAAUGGGCGCAAGCCUGAUCCAGCCAUGCCGCGUGUGUGAAGAAGGCCUUAUGGUUGUAAAGCACUUUAAGCGAGGAGGAGGCUACUUUAGUUAAUACCUAGAGAUAGUGGACGUUACUCGCAGAAUAAGCACCGGCUAACUCUGUGCCAGCCGCCGCGGUAACAC
rnacentral:rRNA from 1 species